rnacentral:rRNA from 1 species
AGCAGCCGCGGUAAUUCCAGCUCCAAUAGCGUAUAUUAAAGUUGUUGCAGUUAAAAAGCUCGUAGUUGAAUUUCGGGAUUGACACAUCGGUCGUGCCUUAAGGGGUAUGAACUGGUGUAGUCAAUUUCUCACCUUCUGGAGAACCGCGAUGCCCUUAAUUGGGUGUCGCGGGGAACCAGGACCUUUACUUUGAAAAAUUAGAGUGUUUAAAGCAGGCAUUUUGCUUGAAUACAUUAGCAUGGAAUAAUAAAAUAGGACGGCAUGAUUCUAUUUUGUUGGUUUCUAGGAUCACCGUAAUGAUUAAUAGGGAUAGUUGGGGGCAUUAGUAUUCAAUUGUCAGAGGUGAAAUUCUUGGAUUUAUUGAAGACUAACUACUGCGAAAGCAUUUGCCAAGGAUGUUUUCAUUAAUCAAGAACGAAAGUUAGGGGAUCGAAGACGAUCAGAUACCGUCGUAGUCUUAACCAUAAACUAUGCCGACUAG